UUUAUUUUAUAUUAGUGUUCUGUUAAAAUCAGAUCUAGUGGUUGAUUACUUUAUUAAAAUAUUCAGUUAAAGAAGAAAUCAUAGAAAAAGUUAGCUACAUUCUAUGUACAAAUUAUACUCCUUCUCCUGUCCUGUGAUAUAGGAGUGAGGUUUCUUUAUGCAUGGAUCCAGUACAUGGGGUCUGUAUCAUUUUUUUAAAUGUUAAACACUGAAACAGUCCACAGUGUUCAGUUUUAGUCUAUUUAAAGUGGAGUGAGAAUCUAGAGACAUUUGCAAAGCAAUUUCAAAGAAGAUUUCUAGAAUUUUAUUCAUUUUGCCCAACUCUUCACCUUUCCCACAUCUCAUUGAUAGCAUUGUCCCCAAUAGCUCACCAUGAAGUCUUUCCUAGUAUUUACCCAAGUUUUUAAGAAAACAACUCUCUUCACACCCACAUUUCAUUGGUUUCUAUCACUUAUUAAAUUACAUGAUUACAAAACAAAUACAAAUAGCAUGAAUAGGGCUGGGAAAGUAACAGACUUCAGAUAAUUUUAAAAGAGUUUAAUUUGUGGGAGGACAAUCACAGAGAAUCUUAGAAAGGAGUCUGCCAUCAGGUUAUUUAUUCAUUCUUGUGUGUAUGCAUUUAUUAUUUAUUUAGUGAGUACUAUACGCCAGACACUAUGUGUGACCUGGGUAAUGGAAAUGAACAAGACUGACAAAACCCUGUGUCCUUCUGGAGCUGCCAUCUGGUGCAGGCAGGCCAUGUGCUGGUAUAUCAGAGAGCACAUAUUGCAGUGGGAAUACCACCAUCAGUUAAGCCAAUGAGCUGGUCACUUCAUCAAACCCUUGUUAUAUUUUUCCUUUUUAAAAUUCUCUGCUUAACUUAAAUCUUCCCCCAGAUUUGUCUCUUCAGUCUCUCCUGGCAAAUGACAACCAGGAGUGACUUUGUAUAUCUUUCUAUCUCAAAUAUUGUUCUUUUCCAGCGACUCUCUGGAGCUGAUCAGAGAGGGUCACAGUCUUCAGAAAGCAUCUUUUAGCAUCAUGUGCUGAAAACAGGACUGGUUCCACGAGCACUUGACCCUCGCGUUUCCACAGCGCUGUGUACACAGAAGAGUCCUAAGCCUGCUUUCAUGUUUUCCCGACACGGUUUUGAAACUCUUAAUACUUAUAAAAAGAGGAGAACUCUGCAUAUGCAUGUCUUUGCAAGUUAUGUAGCUACUGCUCACAAGAACCUGUAGAUUCUAAUUUUCUGACUGUCAAAUUUAAACUCUGCCAGACCUAAGGUAGAAGUUCACUUUCUAUCUUGAUAACAUCUUACUCUAACCUCUCUUUGAUGGAGCCUUUUUCUCAAGACUGGCUGGAUUUGCUGCCCUCGUAUGAAAUCAACCUCUUUCUGGCCCUGUGCUGUGGCUUCCGUGGCUCUCUCAGAUGGGAAGGGUCCCAUCUCUUUUUCUGGUCCAAUCCCAGCCUUCAAAUCUUUAUAAUCUGGUGCAUAACUCAUCUGCCUCUAACUCAAGCCUGUUCUCUUUCAGGACUUAUCUAAGCACGAAUAAUUAUGAAUUAUUAUAUAACAUCUCUACAUAAGACAUGAAUGUUAUAUAAUUAUUAGUUAUAUAAAUUAUGGAUUUGUAUAGUUAUACAAGCCUUCUGAUAAAAUCAUAAUAUCUGUUCCUCACGUAGGGCUGCAGUGGGCCUCCUUGAUACAGAACUAACUGCUUCUCAUACACAAUCUCAUUUUUAUUAAAAUCCUCUCUUUUUUUCUGUUUGGGGCCUAUCUGCUCAGUGUGUUCUGCCUCUCCGUGGAGACUUCAGAUUUUCUGGGCUGGAGUGCAUGUCUUUUUCAUGCAGUUGUACUCUCUUGGCUUUGUACACAUGGCACCUGGUAUAGUGCCAGGGCUCUGUGCCUAUUGCCAAAUUGACUGGCAAAUUAUUAAUAAAAGCUGAAAGUAUAAAGUACUGCACUUCUUUCAUCUACUGAUUUUUGCAGCUAGCAGCAUCUCAGGAAGUCUUUGCCAGCCUGAGGACUUUUAAAACUGGUCUGCACCAUAACUUGAAGUAAUCAUUUUUGUGAUUGAAACUAACGACUAUAUAAUAUCUGCUAGGCACAAUGCCAAGGCAUGAUUUGAUUUCUGGUUACAUUUGCAGCUAAGCUGAUUUUUGUAAAAGGUGCCCUCAUGUGCUUAGGCAGUAUGAAUGCUCUCCCUAGCCCUGUCCACUCACGAAAGUGCACUUGCCAAUAUCCUUCACUUGUUAGGAUGUGCAUUUAAGGCUGAAGCUUCCAAAGCUAAUUAGAAAACAAUUAUUGUUGAUAAGCUUCUGCCAAAUGUAAAAUGCCAUACUCAGAUGCCUUUAAGACCGUCAUUAAAAUGGCCAGAAAAGGGACUGUGGUAUUUAUCAAGUCAAGGGAGACUUAUGCCUAAUAACAGUGAGAUGUUUUAUGCCAUUAAGAAAUGAACAGGCCUGUCAGGAAAAUGUUCAACAGAAGGCAAUGUCAAACUUGCUGGAAUAACUUACUCACUGCAUGGCUCCCAUCUGCGAAGUCACUGGGGAGGUGGCUGCCUCUGUGUGAUUCCUUAUUGUCAGUUAAAUUAGAUGCCCGAAGGCAAAACCAACUGACAGGGGCAUCGUGGGACACUCCUGGAGGACUCAGAAUCCGUGAUCCCUGCUCCCCCCACUCCCAUUAGAAGAGCUUCAGAAGACCACGGAUGGGGUAAGGAAAUCUUGAUGCAUAGAAUGAAGACGGUCUACUGAGGCUCCACUCAGAAUCAACCCAGUGUACUUCUUGUCUUUCCAACACUGAUUAAAGUUCUGUAACAAAA